CAUAAUCCAGGCCCUNCGGGGGGCAGCAGGCGGGACCCUUUUCAAUGGGGNAACCCCGAUAAGGGGACNCUGAGUGCCAGCAUACUAUGUNGGCUGUCCACAUGUUUAAAACGCAUGUGAUAGCAAGGGCCGGGCAAGACCGGUGCCAGCCGCCGCGGUAACACCGGCGGCCCGAGUGGUGAUCACUAUUAUUGGGUCUAAAGGGUCCGUAGCCGGUUUGAUCAGUCUUCUGGGAAAUCUGACAGCUUAACUGUUAGGCUUCCAGGGGAUACUGUCAGACUUGGGACCGGGAGAGGUAAGAGGUACUACAGGGGUAGGAGUGAAAUCUUGUAAUCCCUGUGGGACCACCAGUGGCGAAGGCGUCUUACCAGAACGGGUCCGACGGUGAGGGACGAAAGCUGGGGGCACGAACCGGAGUAGAUACCCGGGUAGUCCCAGCCGUAAACGAUGCUCGCUAGGUGUCAGGAAUGGUGCGACCGUUUCUGGUGCCGCAGGGAAGCCGUGAAGCGAGCCACCUGGGAAGUACGGCCGCAAGGCUGAAACUUAAAGGAAUUGGCGGGGGAGCACUACAACGGGUGGAGCCUGCGGUUUAAUUGGAUUCAACGCCGGG
rnacentral:rRNA from 1 species